AUUGAACGCUGGCGGCAGGCCUAACACAUGCAAGUCGAGCGCCGAGGGGGACGGGUGAGUGAUGCCUAGGAAUCUGCCUGGUAGUAGCCGAUCACGUCCGGAAGCGGGCGCUAAUAACGCAGACUUUCAGAUGAGUCUAGGUCGGAUUAGAUAGUUGGUGGGGUAAAGGCCUACCAAGGCGACGAUCCAUAGCUGCUCUGAGAGGGUGAUCAGUCACACUGGGACUGAGACACGGUCCAGACGCCUACGGGAGGCAGCAGUGGGGAAUCUUGGGCAAUGGGCGAAAGCCUGACCCAGCCAUGCCGCGUGAGUGAAGAAGGUCUUCGGAUUGUAAAGCUCUUUAGGUUGGGAAGCGGUACCAACCGAGUAAGCACCGGCUAACUUCGUGCCAGCCGCCGCGGUAAUAC
rnacentral:rRNA from 1 species